AGCAGCACAAAACGCUGUAUGGGCUUUGUUUGGCAAGACGUACUCAAGAUGACAAGAGCCCAUCCCCCAAUUUGCUGCGACCAGUCCAGUCCACGUUUCUUCUCUCACAUCCCUAAAAAAACCUUUCUUCUCUCACCCCUAUUCUCUCUUCUUCCUCGUCCACCGUUCAACCAUGGGCCUUCCUCUCCUUGCCGGCGGCGCCCGACUCCCAAGCUCCGCGGCCGUACAACCCCACCCAACCUACCUACAGUUCAUUCGCGCCCGAUGCCGCCGCCCAAUUUGGUGCCUCGGUUUCUCCUCCUACCCUUAAACUAACAUCCCUCCCCUGUACCAUGGCCGCUCACACCGCACCGCGCGCAGAAGCUCGCCGUCCCCGGCUCGGCGACGCCGUACAAGAGGCCGCGCCCGCUCCGUGGGGGUCAGCCACCCCGACACCGCCGCUGCUUUCCCUCUCCAUGGCGUUGGUCUCUCUUCCGUUUUUCUUCUUCUGAUGGAUCCGCGUACAGCUUAAGUAUGCAAAUACUAACAGGCCAGAUAAAAUUCGUGAUGGAUUUAGUUACUGUUAGCUAGCUCACUCGGAAGCUAUCAGUUAGCCAGUAUGUGGGACUACUGAAGAUUGCCAUCCGGCCGCCGCUGUUUUAAAAGCAUGGCACUCACAAAUCAGUUGCGUCAUACGAUUAUCCAUUCUUCUGAUGAGUUCAGUUGCAUGAUACCUGUUGUUGAGGGGCCAAAAUCGCUGUCCUGACCUUGUCAGAAUCUUUAAUACAAAAUGACCUCUCUCAGAAACUAUUUCAGGAUCUGACCCUUUCUGAAACACCAAGCCACAUGGCGUUACUGUCCAAAGUAGAAACGUCAAACUAUUCCGCGUUGCUAGCCGGCCACGUGGCAAGUCGAAACGCCGAAGUUGGCCGCGUUGCUAGAAACGCCAGACCCUUUGGCGUUGCUGCUGCACUCCAAAUCGCCAAUGCCAUAGGCGUUGCCCUCUUGGUCCAGCCACUAGCACUUCAAAACGCCAAUCUCUAAUGUUAUGUGUCAGCCACCCAGGCACAACCUUGUCCACUUAGAGCGAUCAACGAGCCUUGCCCUGAGCCACUUGGAGACAUGACCUUGACACUGCGAUCCGCCGUGUACUUUCCGGCGAGUCGCACGUACGAGACUAGCUCGAGUACUUUCCGAGCUUGCCGAAUAGUAACUGGUUGGAGUCGUAGAGGCCGAUUUUCCCUUCACGCCUAUACACGCACGUAUGAGACUACAAGCCACCGGCUUGCCUGAUCGAUACGUUUCAGCAGCACAACACAGUACAUACUCCCUUCAUUCUUAAAAGAGUGUACUUUCAACUUUAUUAGAAAGUCAAUUUUUUUUAUGUUUGACCCUAUUUAUACAAUAAUAGACCAACAAUUAUGCCAUCAAAUUAGUAGCAUUAGAUUCAUGAUAAAAUAUAUUUCCGUCAUAUACCUAUUUGGUUUCACAAGCAUUGAUAUACUUUUGCACAAACUCGGUCAAACUUUGAGAUAGUUUGACCCUCCAACAAAGUUGGAAGUACACUCUUUCAAGGACGAAGGGAGUAGGUAUAUACAGAUAAACGUAGCAGCUAACCUAGCCAACUAAGAAUCCUAUAUGGUUCCUGAUCGAUACGAGCUAGUUUCAGCAGGACACACAUAUUCUCUUGAUGCUAACGCCCCAGACUUUGGCGUUUUGAAGUGCAACAGCAAUGCCAAGAGGUCUGGCGUUUCUACCAACGCGGCCAACUUCGGCGUUUCUACUUGCCACGUGGCCGGCUAGCAACGCUGAAUAGCUUGGCGUUUCUACUUUGGCCAGUAACGCCACGAGGUUUGGCGUUUUAGAAAAAGGUCAGAUUGUGAAAUAAUUUUUAGGAAAGGUUAUUUUGUGUUGAAGAUUUCUGACAAGGUAAGAGGAGUGAUUUUGGCCUUGUUGAGGUUCUGUAUGCUCAUAUGUUCCCAUGGAGUUCAGUUACUGUCAGUUAGCUGAGUUGGAAGCAAUCAGUUAGCUUAUCUUCACUGGGUGGCACUGAAGAUUUGGAGAUAGCUAUCACUGUCGAUGAGCAGGAUAGCAUUCACAGCCUAUCUCUGCCGCACGAAUCACAAGCCAGAUAAUGCAAAGCGGUUUAUUCUGAAGAGAAAUGAGCCAUUUGGCAAAGACUUGUCAACACCCCCUUUGAUGGGCUAGAACAUCCUGCACAAGAAGGCAGGAUUGACUGACUUGCCAGGUCGCUGUGUGGCAGCAUGACCACAAGAAAGUAGUCGAAUGUGCCCAAAUAAACCACAUCAACAUACUCUGGAGUCCAGGUGCUUACUUGUCUUGCUCUUUCCCAUGUCUUCUUACAGGGGUCUAGUGCCACCAUAAAUUUGCAGCACCAAGCCAGCCAUGAAAGUGGUACAUAGAAGAUAAGGCCUCCCAGCUGAGACGAUCACGGCAUAUAUACCCAUGGAUUAAAAUCGCGGGAGAAAUGAUUUCGUGGCGGCCUCCCCCAGCAGCUAUAGCGGCCGCCAUAGCGGGCAAUAGCGGCAAAUGGCGGAAAAUUUUCUGGUGGGAGAGAUGAUUUCUGGAGGGUUUUGCCGAUUUUUUAGCCAUUUAGAGGGAUAUGUUGAGGUUUUCACCGCAACAGCCAUAGCUUAGCGGCAAGGCUCCCAGGCAGCUAUAGCGCAGCUAUCGCGGCUAUUUCGCGGGCUAUUUUAAUCUAUGUAUAUACCACUGUUAAAUCCACAGCCUGAACAGAAUUUCUAGUGAAAUUGGGAGCUGUGAAAGGUGUGGGGAUCAUGGCCAUCUUGCAAAUUACGCCACUUUGAUCACUACAAUGUUGAAUUAACUAAAAUGUUUGACAAAAGCAGUGUCCAAAACUCCAGAUCCAGUUCUGGUGAGUUUCUGGUGUUGUUUUGUUUGUCAUCUUCAUGCUGCAAUUUUGCUUAUUUAGCAUGUUCACAUAAAUUUGCAUAAGUUUGGCGUGAGUUUUCUUAGUAAAAUAUGUGAUGAUAUGAUUUAUCGGGGGCAGCUUUCAGUCGGACAUGCAAAGACUUGUUAGCACCCCCUUCGAUGGGCUAGAAUUACCUGCACGAAAAGGUAUUGACUGACUCACAAGAUCACGCUGCAGCGUAAUUUAUUGUGGUCAUGCGACCUCACUUUCACGGCGCAUCAAAACCACCACAGCCACAUCCACAGGAGUCAAGUGCAACUAUGGAACCAAACCAUUAAUAUACAGAAUCAAAGCUGGCAUGAUUUGAUAAAAAAAUCCCUACGCUGUAGACACUAUUACGCCCUCCCCCCUAAAAAAUCCACACACUUGCAAAGUUGCACUGCUGCUUGACCUGAAUUUCUCGAGCAAAGUUGUGAGUUGUGCAAGGCGUGCCGGAAGAUCAUGGGCAUCUUGCCGGUGAUCUAUGUACUACUCCCUUUGUUCAGCUCUUCAGAUGAGAUCCAUGUACAAGUGCUCAUUUCCUGUUUUUUCUUUUACUUGACUCUGUGUCUGCAGUUCAUCUCCGGUGCUCGAAUUUGUUUUUUCUUCACUUUCUGCUCUUGGUUGCAGCUUAGGCAAACAACAGAUAAAAUUGGAGAUGUAUUCAGUUACUGUUACUUAGCCCAACUAGAAGAUUUCGCGAUCAGUUGGCAUGUGGUCAUGUUUGAUUUACUCUGUGCACAAUAUUCACUUUACUAGUCUGCCCUCGGUUGCAGCUUAAGCAAACACCAGCUUAAAUUGGGGAAUGGAAUUCAGUUACUGUAGCCAUUAAUAUACAGAAUCAAUCUUGUAAAAAUCCACACACUUGCAAAGUUGCGCUGCUGCUUGACCUGAAUUUCUCAAGCAAAGUUGGGAGCUGUGCAAGGCGUGCCGCAAGAUCAUGGGCAUCUUGCCGGUGAUCUUUGUACUACUCCCUUUGUUGGUACUCAAGUCACUAGGAAAUCUAAGUGCGCUAUCAUCUGGAGUUGUAACAAGCCACAACCCCGGAGGGGAUUGGGUGCAACCAUCACAUGCCACGCUCGACGGUUAUCCCAAGAGCUGCGGCAAUGUGAGCUUCGGCUACCCCUUCGGCAUCGGAUCCAGGUGUUCCCGGGGGUCUGACUUCAACCUCACCUGCAACAACGCCUCUCAUCCGCCCAGACUAUUCUCGAGGGACAACAUCACUGAGGUGAUCCACUUUGACGACCCUUUUUUCAAUAUAAACUUCAUCAAGGCAUCCUUCUCGCAUACCAUCCCCAUGCAACCUGGUGUCAGUGUUUACAACUUGUCUUUGGUACCUCCUGGGAGGUCCUUCUCUCUCAGGGCCGCUGUUCUAAAGAUUACCGGCUGUGACCUGAAUGUAUACUCUAUCGGAGACGACGCCACCAUGUUGAUAUGCAGCACUGUGUGCCUGGAUCCAAACAUCCCAGAGAUGGUGGCUAUGCACAACUGUAAAAAUACUUCGGGGUGCUGUCGUGUUGAUGUGGAUGGUGAUGGCAGUUUUCGGUUCAAAUUUGUCUACAACCAAAGCAAAAGCAACAUUGAUGCACGCUCUAGGAAGAGCUCUCAACUGUGGGAUAGAAUCAGCAUAACUAGUGAUUGGCCGACUGGCUUUCUGCUAUUGUGACAGAUAAUUGACGAAUCCAACUGCAUUGCUGCCAAGCAAAACAUGACACACCAUGCUUGCACCGGCAAGUAUGCCGAGUGCCAUGACAGCACAGCCAAUGUCUGUGACGUCAAAGAUGCUGAGUGCGUUGAUGGAAGUCGUGGCUACAGCAUGUGCAGGACUGGCAUUAUUUCAUCACCUUUUGCAGACAUUUAGAGCUUCACAAGUAGGAUUUACCUAGCGAAGUGAACUACGAAGUUGAAGAUCAAGGUAAUUAGUUAGUCUUUUAGCUCGUCAUUAGAUUUGCGAUGUUAUUGCUUAGAAGUUAGAAAUAAUUUGAAAUGACAUAUGUUGCAUUUAUACUAUUUUUUUAGAAGAGUAGGUUGGAGAUGUUGUAUCAAUGUUAGCUGCGUCCAUUAGUAUUAAUCAUAAUUAGUACUUAUGUUGAACAUUUAGGUUGGGUUAGAGGCGGGAUUUGGACAGCAAAUAUUUGUUGGUAUUGUAGAUCAACAUUAGGCUUUUAAAAUGCAUAAGUUUAGUUUGACAUGCGAGAAGAUCUUAAUAUGGUAAUUAAGAAAAAGUUUGUAAUGCAAUUGUUCAUUGCAUGUGGUAUGUUUAUUAAUAAGUCUAUAGUUAGGAAAUCGUAGGACUACUUUGUUAUGUCGCAAUAAUCUAAAUUUUCUAUGUUAAGAUUACAUGCUAAUGUACUUAAUGAUGUAUGUAAUUAGGUAAAAUAAUUCAUCUUAGUAGCAAACAAGGAGGAGAUGAUGUGAUUGAAGAAUUUGUGUUUCGAUCUUCGCUGUCCUUUUUGAGGUGAUGACCACAUACAUGUUAUGGCUGAAGUGCCAGUGCUUUUGCAGCACUAGUAGAAAACAGGGCUUUGGUUCGGCCAGAAAAGAGCAUUAAUCCCGGUUGCAUUACGAACCGGGACUAAUGUGAGCAUUAGUCCCGGUUCGAGCGGCUAGGGCACCGUACGGGCAUUAGU